GAGGAAGUAAAAGUCGUAACAAGGUUUCCGUAGGUGAACUGCGGAAGGAUCAUUAUCGUACAACCAGAGGGGUCAGGGCUGUCGCUGACCCUUUCGAGGGUCGUGCACGCCCUGGGCAUUCCCCCCCUUUUAAAAGGGGGCUUGCGUUUUUUUUGUGAUAGUACGCAAUCAAUACAACUUUCAACAACGGAUCUCUUGGCUCUCGCAUCGAUGAAGAACGCAGCGAAAUGCGAUACGUAAUGUGAAUUGCAGAAUUCAGUGAAUCAUCGAAUCUUUGAACGCACCUUGCGCCCCUUGGCAUUCCGAAGGGCACACCCGUUUGAGUGUCGUGAAAUCCUCAACCUUCUCCCUUUCUUGUUGAAUUGGGGGAAAGGCUUGGACUUUGGAGGUAUCAUUUUUUGCUGGCCUCUUUCCACUUGAAGCCAGCUCCUCUUAAAGGAAUUAGUGGGAUCCCCUUUGCCGAUCCUUGACGUGAUAAGCUUUUGCAACCUCGUCUCGAGAGGUAGAGAAACCCUGCUUCUAAAUUGUCUCGUUUGAGACACGGGUGGUUUUGAAAGGUUUGCCCCUUUGACCCACCAAACCCCUUUUGACCUCAAAUCGGUUGAGAUUACCCGGUGAACUUAAGCAUAUCAAUAAGCGGAGGAAAAGAAACUAACAAGGAUUCCCCUAGUAACUGCGAGUGAAGCGGGAAAAGCUCAAAUUUAAAAUCUGGCGGUCUUUGGCUGUCCGAGUGUAAUNGAGAAGNUUCC
rnacentral:sRNA from 1 species